rnacentral:tRNA from 2 species
ACCCCUGUGACGCAAUUGGAAGACGUGACCGACUCAGACUCGGUAGUUUGCAGGUUCGAGUCCUGUCAGGGGUA